rnacentral:rRNA from 1 species
AGCGAACGCUGGCGGCAGGCUUAACACAUGCAAGUCGAACGGGCGUAGCAAUACGUCAGUGGCAGACGGGUGAGUAACGCGUGGGAACGUACCUUUUGGUUCGGAACAACCCAGGGAAACUUGGGCUAAUACCGGAUAAGCCCUUACGGGGAAAGAUUUAUCGCCGAAAGAUCGGCCCGCGUCUGAUUAGCUAGUUGGUGUGGUAACGGCGCACCAAGGCGACGAUCAGUAGCUGGUCUGAGAGGAUGAUCAGCCACAUUGGGACUGAGACACGGCCCAAACUCCUACGGGAGGCAGCAGUGGGGAAUAUUGGACAAUGGGCGCAAGCCUGAUCCAGCCAUGCCGCGUGAGUGAUGAAGGCCCUAGGGUUGUAAAGCUCUUUUGUGCGGGAAGAUAAUG